ACGAAGAAGGCCAAGUGAUGAUAUGGCUCGUGUGAUGGUGGCAAGUAUGGCGGUGGACCCGGAUUUCCUUCCCCAGCUCGAUGAAUCAGAUCUCCUUCCAUUCUUUGGCAACAUUGUAAAUGGCCAUGGUUCCUCCAACAGCAGAUUGCAGGAAGAGUCGCCAGUAGCAGCAGCCUCAUCAAGUACAAAGGGUCAAGGUGCAGAAUCGCCGGAGAGUAAGAUCACGUGUCCUAUCUGCUUUGACAGCGAGUCGACAGUAAGUUUCCUGAUGACAGAAGAACGUUCUUAUGGUAGACCGCAUCAAGGAUAGAACAUAGGCCGGGAGCUAGGAGGGUUCACCGUGCACCCCCCCCACAAACCUCCGAACCAAUAUUUUUCUGAAGCCCCAUGACGCCCUGAUCACGAAAAUAAAUGUUAACAUUGCGUAAGUUGGGACGAACUUCCGGUUAUGAC